AACGUAGGACACGAGCGUUAUCCGGAGUUACUGGGCGUAAAGGGCGUGCAGGCGGUUUCUUAAGUCAGGCGUGAAACCAUUCGGCUAAACCGGGUGUAGUCGUCUGAGACUGGGAGACUAGAGUGAGUGGUGAGAGGCGUGUAGAAUUCCGGGUGUAGUGGUGAAAUGCGUAGAUAUCCGGAGGAAUACCAGUGGCGAAGGCGGCACGCUGGGCCAUAACUGACGCUAAGACGCGAAAGCAUGGGUAGCGAACGGG
rnacentral:rRNA from 1 species